UCAAGACAUUUGGAAAAUUUUUCUCUGCGUUCUUACAAGUUAAUUUUCACUAAGCUGACUAUAUAUAAGGACGAAGAAAAAUUAAUGAAAAAGGAAAUGGUACAACUAAUAUUCUAGCUAUCCUAGUUAAAUUUAGGACAUCGUACCCUUCUUAAUGUUUUCAUCAAUAUUUUGUCAUGGUUGCGCUCUUAGUAAAAAAUGACUAGAGUAGCAAAAAUUUGGCGAUUUUUCGUAAAAUAUCUCAAACUACCCAAAUUUAGGAAUCUAGGAAAGACAUGAAUGUUAAUACAAUUAAAAAAAGUUGUUGAAAACUUUAAGUAGAUACGCUUUUAAAAGGGCUAGCUAACAUUUUAGUUGCACUCAUUUCAUUUUUCAUCAAUUUUCAGAGUAAUUUUCUUACAUUUGCUGUUCAUAUUAAAAAUAAAGUACAAAAGAAUGUAGGUAUACUGAACGAUGUAUAUAGACAUUCUUUUAAAGGAAAAUAGUUACUAAUCUGCUAAUAUUUCAAUUAUGAGGGAUGAAAACUAAUUGGAUUGUUGCAUGGUGGGUUUAAUUAUAUGUUAAAAAAAGCAAUCGCUAACCAUUUCAUCUUUUCCACCAGUCAUACCGACAUCACCGACUGGAUCGAACCAACAACAUUUUAACAGUUGGUUAAAUUUUUUCUUGUGACGUUUGUCCUCAUUUUGAAAACAAAA